rnacentral:rRNA from 1 species
AGGACGAACGCUGGCGGCGUGCUUAACACAUGCAAGUCGUGGGGGGGUAGCAAUACCUCACCGGCGAACGGGUGCGUAACACGUGAGCAACAUUCCGAUUUCUGGGGGAUAGCCGGCCCAACGGCCGGGUAAUACCGCAUACGCUCAUUGAGAGGAGUCUCUUGAUGAGGAAACCUCCGGGGGAAAUCGAGUGGCUCGCGGCCUAUCAGCUAGUUGGCGGGGUAAUGGCCCACCAAGGCAAUGACGGGUAGC